rnacentral:rRNA from 1 species
CAGUAGCCGCGGUAAUACAGAGGGUGCAAGCGUUAAUCGGAAUUACUGGGCGUAAAGCGCGCGUAGGUGGUUUGUUAAGUCGGAUGUGAAAUCCCCGGGCUCAACCUGGGAACUGCAUCCGAAACUGGCAAGCUAGAGUAUGGUAGAGGGUAGUGGAAUUUCCUGUGUAGCGGUGAAAUGCGUAGAUAUAGGAAGGAACACCAGUGGCGAAGGCGACUACCUGGACUGAUACUGACACUGAGGUGCGAAAGCGUGGGGAGCAAACAGGAUUAGAUACCCCCGUAGUCCCUGUCUCUUAUAC